ACAAAAGAUAAGCUAAACAAGCUAUUGGGCCCAUACCUCAUUUAUGAGAGUAAAACCUCUCUUUUU
rnacentral:tRNA from 1 species